GACGAACCGUGCGAACGUUGUUCGGAAUCACUGGGCUUAAAGGGCGCGUAGGCGGAUCAUCAAGUCCGGGGUGAAAUCCUCCCGCUCAACGGGAGAACGGCCUCGGAUACGGGCGGCCUCGAGGGAGGUAGGGGCAUGCGGAACUACGGGUGGAGCGGUGAAAUGCGUUGAUAUCCGUGGGAACUCCGGUGGCGAAGGCGGCGUGCUGGACCUCAUCUGACGCUGAGGCGCGAAAGCCAGGGGAGCGGAACGGG
rnacentral:rRNA from 1 species